CACGUAGGGUGCGAGCGUUUCCGGAAUUCUUGGGCGUAAAGAGCUCGUAGGCUGUGUGUCGCGUCGGCCGUGAAAACCUGCAGCUUAACUGUGGGCUUGCGGUCGAUACGGGCAUCACUGGAGUUCGGCAGGGGAGACUGGAAUUCCUGGUGUAGCGGUGAAAUGCGCAGAUAUCAGGAGGAACACCGGUGGCGAAGGCGGGUCUCUGGGCCUUACCUGACGCUGAGGCGCGAAAGCUAGGGGAGCGAACAGG
rnacentral:rRNA from 1 species